AUGGCCUGCGCCUUCUUCUUCGACGCGGAGCCGCUGGGCGAGCCCGGGCUGCGCCUGCACGGGCCGGAGCUGGAGCUGGACGCCUGCGCGCUCUGCACCAAGCCGCUGCAGAGCAACAGCGACAUCUUCAUGUACAAGGGGGACACCCCCUUCUGCAGCGAGGACUGCCGCUACGAGCAGAUGCACUUUGACGCCGCCAUGGCCAGGCAGCAGGCCAGCGCCAGGCGGAAGCAGCAGCAGCAGCAGGCCCAGGCGCAGCCCAGCGUGCCGGCGCCGGCGCCCGUGUCCGCCAAGGCCGACGUGUCCGUGGCGAGCUAG
rnacentral:rRNA from 1 species